rnacentral:tRNA from 1 species
GGAAGAUUGGUAGAGAGGCUAAUUACACCUGACUUGAAAUCAGGAGGCCGAAGAAAUUCGGUCCGAGGGUUCGAAUCCUUCAUCUUCCG